CACACUUAGUGAAAAUUUAAAAAACUUCAGCAUUUCUCCCUCCCUGGCCUCUGCGUAAACCUCUGCCUCACACGCCGACGAACCAACCAAGCAACAUCGCAUCUUCCCCCCUGGCCAGCCGACGUCGUUUCUCCCUCCCCGGCCAGCCACCGCCGUCGCUCCAAUCUCCUCCGGCGUCACCUCUUCCCUCCUCUGCUGCUGUCGCCACUUCCCGGCCUCCUCUACCGCCGGCAUGCCUCUUCCCGGCCUCCUCUCCCGCCGUUAAGCUCCUACAGGUUUGUCCUCAAUUUUUUUUACCCAAAUCCCUAAUUUCUGAAUUGUAUCGUUGAAUUUCCAUAUUUGAAAGCUAUAAAUGUUUUUAAACCCUAGGUUAGUUGUGGAUUAUAGGUUAGUUUAUGAGAGAGGAGCUAGGCUGCUAGGUGAGUCUAUACUGGAAUGGAACCUACUGUGUAUUUCGUAUAUUCUGGUUUCUACAACACAUUGUGGUUAUGUUGAGGCUGUGCGAGGUAGCUGGUUACAAGCAGGCAAUUGAUACAAGAGAUGCAUUGGCGAAAUUUGUAUAUGCAAGCUUGUUUGACUGGGUUGUAGAUAAGAUAAAUACAUCGCUUGCAAUGGGAAAGCAACAUACUGAACAAAAGCUGUUAGGUGAAGCUGGACAUAUGCAAUAAACAUUAAAUUUUACACGCUA